UGCCAGCAGUCGCGGUAAUACGUAGAAGACUAGUGUUAUUCAUGUUUAAUCGGUUUAAAGGGUACCUAGACGGUAGAUCAAGCUUUCUAAUAAAGGAAAAGGACUAGUUUACUAGAGUUACUUAUGAGGGGGUAUUAAAGUACUGCUGGUGUAGAGAUGAAAUUCUGUCAUACCUCUUUUCAAAAGAAAAACCAUGGCACAGGUAUAGGCGAAGGCAUCCCCUUAUGUGAUAACUGACGUUGAGGGACGAAGGCUUUGUGUAGCGAACAGGAUUAGAUACCCCAGUAGUCGAAGCAGAAAAUGAUGAAUGUCAUAGAUUAGAUAUAUAAGUUUAUUCUAUAAAUGAAAGUGUAAGCAUUCCACCUCAUGAGUAAUUUGGCAACAUUGGAACUGAAAUCAUUAGACCGUUUCUGAAACCAGUAGUGAAGUAUGUUGUUUAAUUUGAUGUUCCGCAAAAAACCUUACCACAAUUUGAAUAUUUAUAUUGUUUAUUGUUUUAUUAUUAAUUUUCUUUAAGAAAAUUAAGAAAGAAGCAAUAAGAUAUAAUUACAAGCGUUGCACGGCUGUCUUCAGUUAAUGUCGCGAGACUUU
rnacentral:rRNA from 1 species